CGCUCAGGAUGAACGCUAGCUACAGGCUUAACACAUGCAAGUCGAGGGGCAGCGGGAUUGAAGCUUGCUUCAAUUGCCGGCGACCGGCGCACGGGUGAGUAACGCGUAUCCAACCUUCCGUACACUCAGGGAUAGCCUUUCGAAAGAAAGAUUAAUACCUGAUGGUAUGAUGAGAUUGCAUGAUAGCAUCAUUAAAGAUUUAUCGGUGUACGAUGGGGAUGCGUUCCAUUAGGUAGUAGGCGGGGUAACGGCCCACCUAGCCAACGAUGGAUAGGGGUUCUGAGAGGAAGGUCCCCCACAUUGGGACUGAGACACGGUCCAAACUCCUACGGGAGGCAGCAGUGAGGAAUAUUGGUCAAUGGACGAGAGUCUGAACCAGCCAAGUAGCGUGAAGGAUGAAGGUCCUACGGAUUGUAAACUUCUUUUAUAAGGGAAUAAACCCUCCCACGUGUGGGAGCUUGUAUGUACCUUAUGAAUAAGCAUCGGCUAACUCCGUGCCAGCAGCCGCGGUAAUACGGAGGAUGCGAGCGUUAUCCGGAUUUAUUGGGUUUAAAGGGAGCGCAGACGGGUCGUUAAGUCAGCUGUGAAAGUUUGGGGCUCAACCUUAAAAUUGCAGUUGAUACUGGCGUCCUUGAGUGCGGUUGAGGUGUGCGGAAUUCGUGGUGUAGCGGUGAA
rnacentral:rRNA from 1 species